rnacentral:rRNA from 1 species
AGUACGGCGAGUGAAGCGGCAACAGCUCCAUUUGAAAUCUGGCUCUUUCAGGGUCCGAGUUGUAAUUUGCAGAGGGCGCUUUGGCUUUGGCAGCGGUCCAAGUUCCUUGGAACAGGACGUCACAGAGGGUGAGAAUCCCGUACGUGGUCGCUAGCUAUUGCCGUGUAAAGCCCCUUCGACGAGUCGAGUUGUUUGGGAAUGCAGCUCUAAAUGGGAGGUAAAUUUCUUCUAAAGCUAAAUACUGGCCAGAGACCGAUAGCGCACAAGUAGAGUGAUCGAAAGAUGAAAAGCACUUUGGAAAGAGAGUCAAACAGCACGUGAAAUUGUUGAAAGGGAAGCGCUUGCAGCCAGACUUGCUUGCAGUUGCUCAUCCGGACUUUUGUCCGGUGCACUCUUCUGCAGGCAGGCCAGCAUCAGUUUGGGCGGUGGGAUAAAGGUCUCUGUCACGUACCUCUCUUCGGGGAGGCCUUAUAGGGGAGACGACAUACCACCAGCCUGGACUGAGGUCCGCGCAUUUGCUAGGAUGCUGGCGUAAUGGCUGUAAGCGGCCCGUCUUGAAACACGGACCAAGGAGUCUAACAUCUAUGCGAGUGUUUGGGUGUCAAGCCCGAACGCGUAAUGAAAGUGAACGGAGGUGGGAACCCGCAAGGGUGCACCAUCGACCGAUCCUGAUGUCUUCGGAAGGAUUUGAGUAAGAGCAUGGCUGUUGGGACCCGAAAGAUGGUGAACUAUGCUUGAAUAGGGUGAAGCCAGAGGAAACUCUGGUGGAGGCUCGCAGCGGUUCUGACGUGCAAAUCGAUCGUCAAAUUUGGGC